rnacentral:rRNA from 1 species
UACGUAGGUGGCAAGCGUUGUCCGGAAUUAUUGGGCGUAAAGCGCGCGCAGGCGGCCUCCUAAGUCCGAUGUGAAAGCCCACGGCUCAACCGUGGAGGGUCAUUGGAAACUGGGGGGCUUGAGUGCAGGAGAGAAGAGUGGAAUUCCACGUGUAGCGGUGAAAUGCGUAGAGAUGUGGAGGAACACCAGUGGCGAAGGCGACUCUUUGGCCUGUAACUGACGCUGAGGCGCGAAAGCGUGGGGAGCAAACAGG